rnacentral:rRNA from 1 species
ACUCAAGAAAAGGAUUUUAGUCCAACUCAAAGUUAAUCCAGUAUACUUAAACACAAAUUUAACUUUGAAGUAAUUCAAAUAAGGUACAGCUUAUUUGAAACAGAACACAGCCUUUAACACCGGGUAACAACCCCCACAGAACUAAGUUGGCUUAAAACCAGCCAUCUUUAAAAAAACGUCAAAGUUUAAUUUUCAACAAAACAAAAUAACCCUUCAGUAAUACUGAGUGUUUCUAUACUGAUAUAGAACUUUUUAUGUUAAAACUAGUAACAAGAAGCCCAACUUCUCUUGCAUAUAAAUGUAAACCAGCAAGAAUCACCCCCUGGUGCUCAACAGUCAUGAAUACCUAGUAAUAACUACACAAGAAAAUUUUACUAAACUCUCUGUUAACCUGACACAAGUAUAUCCAAAGAAAGAUUAAAAGAAAAAGAAGGAACUCGGCAAACAUUGAUUCCGCCUGUUUACCAAAAACAUCGCCUCUUGUAAGCCUAUAAGAGGUCCAGCCUGCCCAGUGACUUUGUUCAACGGCCGCGGUACCCUG